rnacentral:rRNA from 1 species
UGGGGAAUAUUGCACAAUGGGCGCAAGCCUGAUGCAGCGACGCCGCGUGCGGGAUGGAGGCCUUCGGGUUGUAAACCGCUUUUGUUCAAGGGCAAGGCACGGUCUUGGG